AACUUACAUGAGCACAUCCUUUGAUCCAACACUUCCUCUUCCAGAAAUUUUCCUGAGAAAAUAAGUGUGUACAGAGAUGUGCGUGCCAGCAGGUUUAUCAGAGCAUUAUUUAUAGCAGAGAAAUGACUGGAAACUAAGCUAAGAGGAGGCUAGUUCAGCCGACUAUGGUACAUCCAUAUAGUGCAAUGCCAUGCGAACGUUCAAAUGCAUGUGGUGGGGAAAGAGUCAUUGAUGUGCUAGAAAGCCCAUAAAUUAUCAUCAAGAGAUAAUUUCCAAUAUGCUGGUGUGUACUUCUGGCCAUUUUUAUACACGCACAUUUUUUUUCACAAAUGAACUACUAAUAUGCUGUUUUGUUGCUGUGCCUCAGCCCUCUUCCCCAAGGGCUGCAGGGAAGGCGAGGUCACAAAGGAACCAAGUGGGGUCAUUGAGAGUAGGGGCUGGGGGCUGUGAACUCCAAUGGUCCCACAAGGACCCAUGUUGUCACAUAGACCUCUAAUAAGUGGUGUUUAUCACGUGGACCCUUGGAGCUCAGCGUUGCAAACACAAGUCCGGGACAGAUGCUUGGCUACAGAGAAAUUCAUGGUGGCGGGGACCGGCAAAAUAAGUGUGGAGAGAUGGCCGCCCAGCUCAGCAGCCCCAUCGAUGCCCGGAUGCGGGUCAGAGUGGUCGGCUGUGGAAGGUGGGGAUCGGUGACUUCCUCGAGCGGCAAGGGAAGAGAGACGGAGCAGGGCGAGAAUCAGACUCGUCAGAUUUAAUAAAAGUGGCAGUAAACAAGCCCA
rnacentral:lncRNA from 1 species